rnacentral:rRNA from 1 species
ACUCCUACGGGAGGCAGCAGUAGGGAAUCUUCCACAAUGGACGAAAGUCUGAUGGAGCAACGCCGCGUGAGUGAAGAAGGGUUUCGGCUCGUAAAACUCUGUUGUUAAAGAAGAACAUAUCUGAGAGUAACUGUUCAGGUAUUGACGGUAUUUAACCAGAAAGCCACGGCUAACUACGUGCCAGCAGCCGCGGUAAUACGUAGGUGGCAAGCGUUGUCCGGAUUUAUUGGGGCGUAAAGCGAGCGCAGGCGGUUUUUAGGUCUGAUGUGAAAGCCUUCGGCUCAACCGAAGAAGUGCAUCGGAAACUGGGAAACUUGAGUGCAGAAGAGGACAGUGGAACUCCAUGUGUAGCGGUGAAAUGCGUAGAUAUAUGGAAGAACACCAGUGGCGAAGGCGGCUGUCUGGUCUGUAACUGACGCUGAGGCUCGAAAGUAUGGGUAGCAAACAGGAUUAGAUACCCUGGUAGGAUAGCG